UUCUGGUGCCCUUCAUUCCACCGGAAUCUGUCAACAGCAAAACCGGAUUUCAGUGAAAUGAAGCUCAUCAGAGA
rnacentral:pre_miRNA from 1 species